CGCCUCUUGAACUUAUAUAAGAGGUCCAGCCUGCCCAGUGACCAUGUUUAACGGCCGCGGUAUCCUAACCGUGCGAAGGUAGCGUAAUCACUUGUUCUUUAAAUGAGGACUAGUAUGAACGGCAUCACGAGGGUUAUACUGUCUCCUUUUUCCAAUCAGUGAACCUAAUCUCCCCGUGAAGAAGCGGGAAUAAGAUUAUAAGACGAGAAGACCCUAUGGAGCUUAAAACAACACAGCACCUGCUAAAAAAUUUAACAAUUUCAGAAUUUUUCAUUUUUUAAGCACUAUGACUGCAAGUUUUUGGUUGGGGUGACCACGGAGCAUAACAUAACCUCCAUGUUGAAAGAAUAUUUUUCUAAGCCAAAAAUUACACUUUUAAGCAUCAAUAAAUUGACAUCUAUUGACCCAAUAUAUUUGAACAACGAACCAAGUUACCCUAGGGAUAACAGCGCAAUCCACUUCAAGAGCUCCUAUCGACAAGUGGGUUUACGACCUCGAUGUUGGAUCAGGGUUUCCCAGUGGUGCAGCCGCUACUAAAGGUUCGUUUGUUCAACGAUUAAAACCCU
rnacentral:rRNA from 1 species